rnacentral:misc_RNA from 1 species
GAAAUGCGAUAAGUAAUGUGAAUUGCAGAAUUCAGUGAAUCAUCGAAUCUUUGAACGCACCUUGCGCUCCUUGGUAUUCCUUGGAGCAUGCCUGUUUGAGUAUCAUGAAAUCUUCAAAGUAAAUCUUUUGUUAACUCAAUUGGUUUCUACUUUGGUAUUGGAGGUCUUUGCAGCUUCACACCUGCUCCUCUUUGUUCAUUAGCUGGAUCUCAGUGUUAUGCUUGGUUCCACUCGGCGUAAUAAGUUAUCUAUCGCUGAGGACACUGUAAAAGGUGGCCAAGGUAAAUGCAGAUGAACCGCUUCUAAUAGUCCAUUGACUUGGACAAUACUUUUAUGAUCUGAUCUCAAAUCAGGUAGGACUACCCGCUGAACUUAAGC